UACGUAGGGGGCUAGCGUUGUCCGGAAUCAUUGGGCGUAAAGCGCGUGUAGGCGGUCCGGUAAGUCCGCUGUGAAAGUCGGGGGCUCAACCCUCGGAUGCCGGUGGAUACUGUCGGGCUUGAGUACGGAAGAGGCGAGUGGAAUUCCUGGUGUAGCGGUGAAAUGCGCAGAUAUCAAGGAAGAACACCCGUGGCGAAGGCGGCUCUCGUGGGACGGUACUGACGCUGAGACGCGAAAGCUGGGGAGCGAAC
rnacentral:rRNA from 1 species